rnacentral:rRNA from 1 species
UACGUAGGGGGCAAGCGUUGUCCGGAAUUAUUGGCGUAAAGCGCGCGCAGGCGGUUAUGUAAGUCUGGAUGUACGUAAACUUAAGGCUCAACCUUAAGGCGCAUUGGAAACUGGAUAACUGGAGUGUAGGAGAGGGAAGUGGAAUUCCGACGUGUAGGCGGUAGAAAUGCGUAGAGAUGUGGAGGAAGACCAGUGGACGAAGGCGGGUCUCUGGACAGUUCCUGACACUGAGGCACGAAGGCCAGGGAGGCAAACGGG